UUAUUUACAAAUAUUUUCUCACAUUCUAUAGGUUGCUUUUUUACUUUGUUGGUUGUGUGUUUUGAUGCACACAGAAGUUUUUAAAAUUUUCAUGAAGUCC